rnacentral:rRNA from 1 species
UACGGAGGGUGCAAGCGUUAUCCGGAUGCAUUGGGUUUAAAGGGUGCGUAGGCUGGGCGGUAAGUCAGUGGUGAAAUCCUGCAGCUUAACUGUAGAAUUGCCAUUGAUACUGCCGUCCUUGAGUGCGCUCGACGUGGGCGGAAUGUGCCGUGUAGCGGUGAAAUGCUUAGAUAUGGCACAGAACACCGAUAGUGAAGACAGCUCACGAGGGCGUUACUGACGCUGAGGCACGAAAGCGUGGGGAUCGAACAGG